rnacentral:ncRNA from 1 species
CAAAAUAUAUUGAGAAGAAGAAGUAAAAAAGCGCGUGUCUUUAGAGAGACUGUGGAUGGUGAGAACAGUUGUCAGCUCUUUUUGAAAUGCAUCUUUGAAUAGUUUCAGCGACAAGUAGCUGAAAACGGCCAACAACCGUUAUCUGUUUUGAGGCAGGGAGACCUGCGAAAAAAAGUGGAACCACGCAAAAGCGUCUUUUAA